CUUAUGAUGAACAUGUAUGUAGCACAUGACACUGGAAUAAACAUUUCUUCUCCUUCUUCUCCUGUACUCCUCAUGUAACUGGUGAAGGUUGUCCAUACACAGAAGGUAGGGUGUCCUCCCAUUUUUCUAUACAUAUAUAUAUUCUUUGUCAUAUCAGUGAAAUAAUCAAAUUAAAAUUUGAAUGUUUGUAUUUUCAGAUCAAUAUAGCAACUGUACCCGUGCAGUGCGGGUGAUGUCGGCAGGUACGGCCAUGGAUGCACAGGUCUCGACUCUGGUCGUAAUGUUUCUUCCAUCCUUCCUCUGGAAUAUAAGAGGAUGACACUGUGGCAAACAACAGCAAGAAUCACACACUUGUACAAAGGCCUUUCAUUCAAGUCAGGAAUAAUAUGUUCAUGUCAGAUUAUUCCUACAAUAGGUUAUAAGAGUAAUAAAACUACUGUAACACAAUAUGUAAAGAACUAGAAACACUUUUGUAUCCUACAAUAGGUUAUAAGAGUAAUAAUACUACUGUAACACAAUAUGUAAAGAACUAGAAACACUUUUGUAUCCUACAACAGGUUAUAGUGUCAUACUGUAACACAAUAUGUAAAGAACUAGAAAUGCUUUUGUAUCCUACAAUAGGUUAUAGUGUCAUACUGUAACACAAUAUGUAAAGAACUAGAAACACUUUUGUAUCCUACAACAGGUUAUAGUGUCAUACUGUAACACAAUAUGUAAAGAACUAGAAACACUUUUGUAUCCUACAAUAGGUUAUAGUGUCAUACUGUAACACAAUAUGUAAAGAACUAGAAACACUUUUGUAUCCUACAACAGGUUAUAGUGUCAUACUGUAACACAAUAUGUAAAGAACUAGAAAUGCUUUUGUAUCCUACAAUAGGUUAUAGUGUCAUACUGUAACACAAUAUGUAAAGAACUAGAAAUGCUUUUGUAUCCUACAAUAGGUUAUAAGAGUAAUAAUACUACUGUAACACAAUAUGUAAAGAACUAGAAAUGCUUUUGUAUUCUACAAUAGGGUAUAGUGUCAUACUGUAACACAAUAUGUUAAGAACUAGAAAACACUUUUGUAUCCUACAAUAGGUUAUAAGAGUAAUAAUACUACUGUAACACAAUAUGUAAAGAACUAGAAAACACUUUUGUAUCCUAUAAUAGGUUAUAGUGUCAUACUGUAACACAAUAUGUAAAGAACUAGAAACACUUUUGUAUCCUACAACAGGUUAUAGUGUCAUACUGUAACACAAUAUGUAAAGAACUAGAAAUGCUUUUGUAUCCUACAAUAGGUUAUAGUGUCAUACUGUAACACAAUAUGUAAAGAACUAGAAACACUUUUGUAUCCUUCAAUAGGUUAUAGUGUCAUACUGUAACACUAUUAUGUAAAGAACUAGAAAUGCUUUUGUAUUCUACAAUAGGGUAUAGUGUCAUACUGUAACACAAUAUGUUAAGAACUAGAAACACUUUUGUAUCCUACAAUAGGUUAUAAGAGUAAUAAUACUACUGUAACACAAUAUGUAAAGAACUAGAAAUGCUUUUGUAUUUUUCAAUAGGGUAUAGAGUCAUACUGUAACACAAUAUGUAAAGAACUAGAAACACUUUUGUAUCCUACAAUAGGUUAUAGUGUCAUACUGUAACACAAUAUGUAAAGAACUAGAAACACUUUUGUAUCCUACAAUAGGUUAUAGUGUCAUACUGUAACACAAUAUGUAAAGAACUAGAAACACUUUUGUAUCCUACAAUAGGUUAUAGUGUCAUACUGUAACACAAUAUGUAAAGAACUAGAAACACUUUUGUAUUCUACAAUAGGUUAUAGUGUCAUACUGUAACACAAUAUGUAAAGGAUUAGAAACACUUUUGUAUCCUAGCUACAAUAUAUAUCUUUCACAUUCAUCUUUUAAACUCUGCAUUUAUCUUAUAACAAAUACAAAUUUCAUACUUUUUCUGAAUGUAUUGUAGCAAUAAAGUACAAAGGCAUAUCUCAGGGUGCCCUGACAGUUCUGUGCAUAACACUGAGAAGCAUGCCAUGAACACUUGUGGGACAGUUCAGCACAUUGUACUCUUGCGAUUCAGGAACUGGGACUCGCUGUGGGAAAAGCAUAGAGCAGCUAUAGAUUCAUGAAAAAACCCUGAAAUGUUCAGUUACUGAACAGAUGACAACAGCUGUCAACACAGCAACCUUUCUAUACAUGAUGGUAGAAAAUGUUUCUGGAAGUCAGGAGUCAGAAUGAAGAAAAGCAGUUCCUGAAACCUUUUUCUGAUGUGGAAUUUCCAAGCUAAAACAACAGUACAUUCCCGUAUGUCCCCACUUGGGAAGGAGA